rnacentral:rRNA from 1 species
UACGUAGGGGGCAAGCGUUGUCCGGAAUCAUUGGGCGUAAAACGCGUGUAGGCGGUUCGAUAAGUCUGCUGUGAAAGUCCAGGGCUCAACCCUGGGAUGCCGGUGGAUACUGUCGGGCUUGAGUACGGAAGAGGCGAGUGGAAUUCCUGGUGUAGCGGUGAAAUGCGCAGAUAUCAGGAGGAACACCGAUGGCGAAGGCAGGUCUCUGGGCCACUACUGACGCUGAGGUGCGAAAGCGUGGGGAGCAAACAGG